CAUCAUUCUUGUUUGCAACUCAAGAACCACACACACAAGAAAACAUGGAGCCUGUUCUCCUUCUUCAUCUUAUUUCCUUCAAAUCACAGACCCAACAUCGGCCACCCCCCCCCCUUCGGCAGGUUGAGCAACGACCACCACCAUCGGGUGGUGGUGAGCGUCGGUUCAAGCGAGAGAGAGCAGAAAGAGAAGGAGCGACCGACAACACCGUCGUCCACGGCGGCGGAGGUGGUUCUGUAGCAACAGUGGCAGUGGUGGCGAGUGGGGUGUCGUCGGAUUUUUUGGUUCAAGCACAGAGGGACAGAGAUCGAGAGAGAUUGAGCUGGAAAACGGGGAGCCGACGUCACCGGCGAUAAACGCCGCUCACGGCGGCGGUCCUUGUCACUGACCGACAAGUUUCCGGUAAGAACACCCGUCUUUUCGUUCGAUUUGCAGAUUUUGAAAACUUGUUUCUUAAAAAUUCUCCCUCACGUUUCUUUUCUUAUUUUUGCGGUGCUAUGCGGCGGCUGUGUUGGUUCGAGGGACGUCAGAGGUCUCCAACCGGUGUCGACGAGGGAGAUGGUUACUAUUUUUUUUGUCUUGUUUUGAUUCGAUUCAAGUUCGAGUUAUGUUCGGUUCUGGGUUUACAUCAUAGAGUUUGGUUUCGAGUCAACUCAGUCAACGGCAGUCAACGCCCGGUCAACAACAGUCAACGGUAUUGUUCGGUUCAGAUUUUGGUUCGGGUUCGGGUAUGGUGCAACUCGGUCAGAUUCAAGUGCGGGUUUCGGUCAACAAGUCAACGUUGGUCAAACUGGCCAAAGAUGGUCAACUGUCGGGUCAAACUCAGUCAACGCAAGACCCGGAACGUCAUAGUUGCACGCUAGCUACUUCACGUUCUAGGAACGGCACUACGGAAUCACGCUAGGCUAGCUUUGCACAGGAAUAACAAGGUUGCAUUUUCAAAACUAUGGAACGGUUGGAAUAGGAGAACCCAUGGGAAUUCGAGUACUUAGCGGCGUUCAUUUUCAAGAAGUCUUAGCUCAAACCCUUCCGCUGUGCAAUGAAGAUACCGGUCCAGUCACGCCAGCUCUGAUAUUUCGGGGUGUG